rnacentral:rRNA from 1 species
GGAUUAGAUACCCUGGUAGUCCUAGCUGUAAACGAUGUGCACUAAGGAGGGGAGGCCCCGAGUCUUCUCUCCUCCAGCGAAAGCGUUAAGUGCACCGCCUGGGGAGUAUGCUCGCAAGGGUAAAACUCAAAGGAAUUGACGGGGGCUCACACAAGCGGUGGAGCAUGUGGUUUAAUUCGAAGCAACGCGCAGAACCUUACCAGCCCUUGACAUGUCCGUCGCGGGCACUGGAGACAGUGUCCAUCGGUUCGGCCGGACGGAGCACAGGUGCUGCAUGGCUGUCGUCAGCUCGUGUCG